ensembl:lincRNA
CCUAUAAGAGGCUGCUGAGCAGGAAGGAGUCCUCCGGCACACACACCUCCAGAAGCCACUUCCAGGUGCUCAUCUGCUUCUGUCGGAUCAUACAAAUAUAGAUCACACAUAUAAUCUGCUGGAUCUGCUCAGUGUGCGUGUGUGUGCGCGCGUGUGUGUGUGUUGCAGAUCCUCACAGAUUCAGACGUGUCUUCUCAUGAUGGUGGAGAUCCAGCAGCGGAGGCGGCUCCUGAAUCUGCAGCUGAAAACACACACAGAUCCACAUCCAGCAGACCUCUGAGCCACAGAUACUCCGCUCCGGCUGAGCUCUACCAGGUCUGACUGGAGCAUGCCUUUACAUGCUGGAGACACACACUAGUGUAUUAUUAGUACACAGUAUUAUUUAAUCAGUUAUUAAAACUGUUCUGUUUAAAAAUGCGCAGAAACAAGUCUUCUCUCCAUUAAACAGAAAUUGUGGAUCAAAGUAUGCAUGAGGGCUGAUAAUUCUGACUUCAACUACAUCUACAGAGAAAUAGAAUGUUUCUUAAUUAGUCUUUAUUUUUCAGGAUGCAUGCACAUCAUUUCCAGAGGCCAGACCCACAAUGCCAUGCGCCACAAGCUCUCUGUCGGCAGAUGGGACGGGGAGGUGUGUGUCGUCAGACAGCGGUGAGGAGCGACCGCAGCAGGAUCCUGCAUCAGUGACCGGUCCUGCGUCUGACCUGAUGAAGCGCGCUGUAGCGUUCCUGCGCAGAUCCACUCACAGCAGCAGUGUACAGAGCUCCGAUUCCCCCUCCGGACCUGUGGCCAACGGACACGCCCCCUCUUCCACCAGCCACGCCCAUGCCGCCACUAGCCACACCCCCUCUGCCUACAUCAGCAGCGAUAAUGACUCAGAGUUUGAGGAUGCGGAUAUGAAGAGAGAGCUGCAGAAGCUGAGAGAGAAACACAUGAAGGAGAUCUCAGAGCUCCAGGCCCAUCACCGAGGAGAGAUCGAGCAGCUGUAUUCCCGCUUGGGUCGGCCUGUUCCGGCCAGCGUGGGUUUCCUGCAUGCAGCGCCACCUACAGGCCGACGCCGCAGAACCUCCAAACACAAGCUAAAGGGAAGCCGGCUGCUUAAUCCCAUGGUGCAACAGCUGAGGACCAACCGCAGCACCAGCUCCACAGAGACGUGCUCCAGUGUGUCGGGGUCUCCUCUGAAGAGUUCUGUGGUCAGCAGCAGCUCUAUGGGCUCCAGCAGCACUGUUACUCUGAGCCCCGUGUCGGAGCCGCUGCAGCCGGUGCAGACCCAGCAGCCCUGCUCGCUCAAGGGCUCCCUGUCCUCCGACAACAUCUACAGCCCCGCCACACACACACCGCAGACACAAGGCUGGACCGUUUACCACCAAACAUCUGAGCGAAUCACCUAUAAAUCUAGUAGCAAACCACGCACUAGAUUCCUCAGUGGACCCGUGUCUGUGUCCAUCUGGUCUCACAGUACUGCUGCAGCUUCAUCAUCAUCAUCCUCAGCUGUUCCUGCCUCUUCGGCUCGGCCUAUCACAGCACUCGUACAGGCUCAGGCCAACAACAGCAACAACAAAACCGGCACCUUCACUGAUGAUCUGCACAAGCUGGUGGAUGAUUGGGCGAAAGAGACGCUUGGCUCCGCCCCUCAGCCCCGCCCCCCUGUGUGUCAGAUCAGACCAUCUAGAUCUCAUCACGGCUUCCAGACCGGCCACACUCACAGUCAGAUGCGAGGCUCUGCCCCUCAGUUUGGUCUGCCUCUGUCCUGUCCGCUGACCGCAGCUCUGGGUCCCAUCAUGCCUCAUAACCCGUCACCCGUUCUCCAGCACAGCGGCUUCCUGAUGCCCACCGCGCCCUUCGCUGGGAUGGUGUCCGCGCCUGUGUUCCCGCACCCGUGGCCCACUCUUCCCAGUGCUGUGGGCAUGUUUGGAAUCGUCCCGUAUCCCACCAUAGCCAACCCAGCCAUCCAGACCUUCCCGAUGGUGCUCAAGAGUCCAGACGCGGCCAGCAAAAGCAGGACUGCAUGAGCUAACUCACUGCGUACGCUAAUCAGACGGAGAAUCACAGUUACAGCACAUUACACACACCAGCGGACCACCUGUGUGUUUCAACUGUUUCUGGAUCAGUCUGACAGCUGCAGAUGAUGAUCGACACUUCUGUGCGCAGCCUGUAAAUAUCAGGUGUGUGUGUGAGUGUGUGUUUGUGUUGAUUAGCAUGAGUGUGUUUGUCUCAGAUCAGACCUGCCUGCACCUUCCCCUUCUCGGUUUUAAGUUUUAGCUCCUGAAGUUUAACUCUUUAUUUGAGCUGUGGCCAGACACUGAUCCUGAAAUAUCUAGAUAUUCUCUCUUGAGUCUAUUCUGAGUGUAGAGUUUAACCGCAGAUCGUGCUCUAGACUAGUGUUUAACAGCAGACGGCGCUCUAGGCUAGAGUUUUAACAGCAGACAGUGCUCUAGCCUAGAGUUUAACAGCAGAGGGCGCUCUAGACUAGUGUUUAACAGCAGAUCGUGCCCUAGACUAGUGUUUAACGGCAGACGGCGCUCUAGGCUAGUUUAUAACAGCAGACGCCGCUCUAGGCUAGAGUUUAACAGCAGACGCCGCUCUAGGCUAAUGUUUAACUGCAGAGGGCGCUCUAGGCUAGUUUAUUGCAGCAGACGGCGCUCUAGGCUAGAGUUUUAAAAGCAGACAGUGCUCUAGCCUAAAGUUUAACAGCAGAGGGCGCUCUAGGCUAGUUUAUAACAGCGAACGGCGCUCUAGGCUAGAGUUUAACUGCAGACGCCGCUCUAGGCUAGUUUAUAACAGCAGACGGCCCUCUAGGCUAGUGUUUAACAGCAGACGCCGCUCUAGGCUAAUGUUUAACAGCAGACGCUGCUCUAGGCUACAGUUUACCAGCAGACGGCGCUCUAAGCUAGUUUAUAACAGCAGACGGCGCUCUAGGCUACAGUUUACCAGCAGAGGGCGCUCUAGGCUAGUUUAUAACAGCAGACGGCACUCUAGGCUAGUGUUUAACAGCAGACGCCGCUCUAGGCUAAUGUUUAACAGCAGACGCCGCUCUAGGCUACAGUUUACCAGCAGAGGGCGCUCUAGGCUAGUUUAUAACAGCAGACGAUGCUCUAGGCUAGUGUUUAACAGCAGACGGCGCUCUAAGCUAGUGUUAACAGCAGACGCCGCUCUAGGCUAAUGUUAACAGCAGACGCCGCUCUAGGCUAANNNNNNNNNNNNNNNNNNNNNNNNNNNNNNNNNNNNNNNNNNNNNNNNNNNNNNNNNNNNNNNNNNNNNNNNNNNNNNNNNNNNNNNNNNNNNNNNNNNNAGUUUAUAGUUGAUAAACACUAGCCUAGCGCACUAUUUGCUGUAAAAAAACUAGCCUAGAGCACUCGAAGUUAAACACUAUCCUAGAGCGCCGUCUGCUGUUAAACCCCAGCCUAGAGCGCCGUCUGCUGUUAAACCCCAGCCUAGAGCGCCAUCUGCUGUUAAACACUAGCCUAGAGCGCCGUCUGCUGUUAAACCCCAGCCUAGAGCGCCAUCUGCUGUUAAACACUAGCCUAGAGCGCCGUCUGCUGUUAAACACUAGUCUAGAGCGCCGUCUGCUGUUAAACACUAGUCUAGAGCGCCAUCUGCUGUUAAACACUAGCCAGUCGUCUGCUGUUAUAAACUAAGCCCAGAAUCAAUUCAAGAGAGAACAGUGAUGUAUUUUGAAAUUCUCUGUUUCAUGUUUCGGGCAGGUUUUCGCCGCAAUCUCUACUCUGUAUUGAGGUGUGAUGCUUUAGCUAGCCUUCAGUUCUACUGCCAUAACAUUUGUUUUUUUUACCCAGAAUUCAACUGCGGAGUGACUUCACUAUAGCCUGAAGUGUAUGCAGAAUAAUAUGGGAAAAAGCCAGCUCAUUUCAUGUGUGUUUCUAAAAAGAAUACUAAUGCUCAGAGUUAUCAGCAUCCAUUAUGAUUUAUCCAUCAAUGAAAUAAAAGUGCAGUGAAUUCCCAGCGCUCUGCAGUGUCUUUCACUGGCGGAUUACUGAAAUAUCCACAGGAUCAAACUCAUGAAGCUGAUUCAGGAUGAUGCAGUGCCUUGAUCAGUUCUAGUUUUAAUAAGCAUGGCUCUGGGGUUAACACGGCUCAUUUACAUUUCACCUGUAAUGAUUUGGCUCUUCUCCUGUGCUUUAAUGGCUGAGCUCCAUUCAUAAGCAAUACUGCACUACAGAAACACACCCUCACUGAUGUGUCUGAGGAAGGUUUGUUUACAUGCAGAAACCAAAACACUCAGUUAUGAAAGACUAACUAUCAGCUGAUUUGAAUGGUUAUUAGGAAGGUUUGAGGUCAGAUGCAUGCACUACACCUUCCCAUCAUGCCCUGCUACAAUGUGAAAACACAGAUACAGUCAUACCCAUGAGUUUAUUUACAUUACUCAGAGGUGUCAUUUGCUUUGCAUAGUGCUUUAUUUUUGCCUUCACAUCCUCGGCUCGUUUAUGAGCUCUUGCACAGUGUUGAUUUUGUUGAGCUUUUAGGACGGCUGUGACUUUAGUGUAAGCUGUGACUCAUAUUUAUUGUUGUUUUUUUUAAAUAAAUAAAGUGAUCAUGCAUUUGAAUAUUGACUCAUGCAUAAAUCUGAUUAAUGGUAAUAAAUGCUAAUUACAUAUAUGACAAGUUCAUAUUUGGAUUUCACAUAUUAAACAGAUGUCACAUGCAACAUAUAUUUUUAAAAAUAGCAACAAAUGGUGGUUACAGUAUAUAUUAAAAUGAAACCCUUAGAAUUAAAAAAAUAAUUACAUAUUGGCUCAGAUAUAUUAGCUAUUAUUUAAUAUAAGUUAAAAUAUGGCCAUAUAUGAACAAAUAUAUCUAUAUAUUUGAACAUAUAUGUAGAUAUUAGUCAUUGCAAUGACUGAAAAAUAAAUGUAAAUGUAAUUUUUCCCUUUUGUUCAAAUAUAUUAGCUACAAUUUAAUAUAUAUGUUCCAAUAUGGCCAUAUAUGAACAGAAAUAUCUAUAUAUUUGCACAUAUAUAAGUAAAUAUUUGUAUUUUUAAUUAUUGAAAAUAAUGUAAACAGACAUUUUUGCAAUUUGGAAACAUGCUGCAUGUAUAAACUAUUCCAGCCAACUAUUCCAGCAUAUGUUUUACACAGUGCAUGCUCUUGCAGCUGCAACCCAGAACUGGGAAACACCCAUACACCAAUUUAGCUGAUCAAUUCCCCUAUAGUGCAUGUGUUUGGACUUUGGGGGAAACCGGAGCACCCCUAGGAAACCCACGCCAACACGGGGAGAACAUGCAAACUCCACACAGAAACACUAACUGACCCAGCCGAGACUCGAACCAGCAACCACAGUGCUGAGCCACCAUGUCGCCCUAAAUUUUACAUGUGAAAUCCAAUUAUGAACUUGUAUGCCAUAUAUGCAAAUGACAUGCAUCAGAUUUCCAUAUGGAGUGUAAGACGGACCCCACAUGUGAGUUUACUCAGUACAGUUAUAUUUGUGUGUGCUGAUGCUUUUAUUGUCCUGUUUACAUUUCUGCUGGUCAGUGUUUACCCACUGAUGCUGCUUCUGUCAAACCCACACCACUGCCAGACGCUCAACAAUGAUUUAUUUUCACCUUUAUUGUAAUGCUUUUUCUUCUCCUGAGUGUUGUUGCAUCCAUGGGGUUUGGUUUGUGUGUCUGUACAGGAUGUUUCUGAUGCUCUGUUGAAUGUUUCUGGCAAUAACGACUGCACUUUGUUUGUGACGCACUGAUCUGAUGUGGCGUUUUCGGACUCUCUCUAGUUUUAAUGAUUAUUUUCCUCUGUGAAUGACCGCUUCUGACGCUUUACUCGGUUUAGACUCAGACAAUAAUGCACUCACUACACAACGACUGUGUACAAGUUUAAUUAAAAAUAAAUCAAUAUUUUGUGCUUAAUAACUGCUGUGUCCUUGUUGUUGAUGUACAGACAUAACCUGAGAUGUUUUAUUCACUGCACUGUCUUGCCAUUGAAGAAUAAUACGUUGAUUUCAAUAGUAAAUAAUUAAAGUACACUGCAGAAAAUGCUGUUCUUACUUGAGUUUUUGUCUUGUUUCUAGUCCAAAUAUCUCAAGAUGUCUAAACCAUGAAGCACUUUCUAGACAAGCACAACAUACUGAUGUAUUUUUAGAAAUAAUGAGUCAAAAUGAAGCGAGUUUUUCUUUAACAUAAGAAAAGUAAUGUUAUUUCAAAGCAAAAACAAGAUUGUUUGACUUUUUGCAGACUUAUU